CCAGGGCAAUUUGAUAAGGUAGGUGAAGGGUGUUACUACCCUUUGCUCUCUCAUUGCAAUUGAAAGCAUUCCUGGAUUUUAGGUGGACCCCACUGGCUACCUUGGUGAGCAUAGAAUCAUCCUUUUUGUUAUCAAAAGAAGAUGCUAUUUAAUUUGAGGAACCUGUUGAACAACGUGACUCUUAGAAAUGGUCACCAUCUCGUGGUUCGAAAUUUUCGCUGUGGACAACCACUACAAAACAAAGUACAGCUGAAAGGUCGUGACCUUCUCACUCUGAAGAACUUUACAGGAGAAGAAAUCAAGUAUAUGCUGUGGUUAUCAGCAGAUCUGAAAUUUAGGAUAAAACAGAAAGGAGAGUAUGUGCCCUUAUUACAAGGAAAGUCACUGGGCAUGAUUUUUGAAAAAAGGAGUACUCGAACAAGAUUGUCCACAGAAACAGGCUUUGCACUUCUAGGAGGACACCCUUGUUUUCUUACCACACAAGAUAUUCAUUUGGGUGUGAAUGAAAGUCUCACGGACACAGCCCGUGUGUUGUCUAGCAUGACAGAUGCAGUGUUGGCUCGAGUGUAUAAACAAUCAGAUCUGGACAUCCUGGCUAAAGAAGCAACCAUCCCAAUCAUCAAUGGGCUGUCAGAUUUGUACCAUCCUAUCCAGAUCCUGGCUGAUUAUCUCACACUCCAGGAACACUAUGGCUCUUUGAAGGGCCUCACUCUUAGCUGGAUUGGAGAUGGGAACAACAUCCUUCACUCCAUUAUGAUGAGUGCGGCAAAAUUCGGGAUGCACCUCCAAGCGGCUACUCCAAAGGGUUACGAGCCAGAUCCCAGUAUCACCAAGUUGGCAGAGCAGUAUGCCAAGGAGGAUGGUACCAGGCUGUUGCUGACGAAUGAUCCAUUGGAAGCAGCUCGCGGAGGCAAUGUAUUAAUUACAGACACUUGGAUAAGUAUGGGACAAGAAGAGGAGAAGAAAAAGCGGCUCCAGGAUUUCCAAGGUUACCAGGUUACAAUGAAGACUGCCAAAGUAGCUGCUUCUGACUGGACAUUUUUACACUGCUUGCCCAGAAAGCCAGAAGAAGUGGAUGAUGAAGUUUUUUAUUCUCCACGUUCACUAGUAUUCCCAGAGGCUGAAAAUAGAAAGUGGACAAUCAUGGCUGUCAUGGUGUCUCUGCUGACAGAUUACUCACCUCAGCUCCAGAAGCCCAAAUUCUGAUGCUGUGAUGCUUGUCUUCAGUACCGGAAUGAGUCAGUUUAUGGGGGAAGGAGAAGAAAAUCUAAGAAAUAAGCAAACCCUGAUACAUGCUAUAGUAUUAGAAGAAUGUUUCCAGGUUGGCUGAUGGAUAUUCUUCAGCAGAUAGUUAUGACUUAAAUGAAGAGUAGAGGAACGAUUUAAGCAGAAGGUGCCAUGUGGAUUGUGGAGGCUCUCCCUCAAAGUGCCUACAUACAAAAGACAAUCCGGAGUGUCCUGCCACUUUCUAAACAGUCCUCCAUGGUAAUGAGCUCUUAUUCUUUGCUGGUUAUUCUUUGAACCAAAUGGAAGAUAUAAUUUUGUUCCUUCAAUCAGGAAGAACUUGUAAACAUUUCUUGACAGAACGUAGUCACUUUACUUCAAAGAGCCCCAAAGCUUUCUUUUUUAUGUACACACAAUUUAACAUCCUUCUGAACCCAAACCUGUAGGAAUUUCUUUGCUUCCUUCACUUUUCAUCUUAAGGAGACAUUAUUUAUAUCAUCAAGAAUAAAGAAAACAGGGAAGGAAAAUUUAGUCUUAAUUUUUUCCAAAGCUAUUUGUAGCUCCUGUUUCUUUUUUCUCUUUCCUCCCUGAUUCCCCUUCCUAUGUAACCACUGUAAGGACCUUUGCAUCUCUGGUAUACAUAAUCAAUCCUACCCACUUAAUUAAUAUAACUAGCCAAAGACUUCCUUUCUUCCAGGCUUUCUCCACUGUAACAUUGGAAGUAGAAAACAUGAAGUGAUUACACUGCAAUGAUUUCAGUGUUCGAGAAGAAUCAUCAGUUGUUUUUUUUUUCAGUGAUAAGUUUCCAAGAAUGUUAGAAAAAUAAUUCAACAUCAGAUAUUUCUAAUGUAUAUUACACUAAUCAUUAUAAAAUCCCCAGGCAGAAAGAUCUGCACAGAUGAACUUGGCAAUACCACAUUAGACCUUCUAUACAAGCAGGUGACCCUAGAACCUCAGUUAAAAUGGCAGGGGCUCCUUGGUCUAAUGCCAAACCUGCAAGGCAAGUCUUCUCAUGUGAUAAAAAUGAAGGAAGAAUAUAUGCAGAGAGCGUAUGCAGAACACACUCUUUUUUGGGCGUUUUUUUGUCUUAGAAGCUCUAUCAAUGUUUGGAUUAUGGUGAUGGCUGAGGAACGUCUUGAGACAUGGCACCACUCAGCAAUUUGGAAAACCAAAGCAAAAUGGUAGUCUGUGUGUUUCCAGAUGGGGUGAGACUCUGCUGGGGUGGGCCUGAUAGAAUGACAAGGGUUCUUAUGAGAGAAAGGCAGGAGGUCAGAAGCCAGAGAAGAGAGUAGCCAUGCUGCCGGCUUUGAAGAGGGAGGAAGGGAGCCAUGAGCCCAAGGCUAAUGGCAGCCUCUGGAGACGAGAAAGGGCAAGAAAUUGGUAGGAUUGAUUCUUUUGACAAAUAUGAAAGGUCAUAUCAAAGAAUGGAAAACCAGUCAAAUCACAAUGAUCAGACUCCUACAGCCAGGAACACCAUAUACUGAUGUACAAAUUGUGUUCUGUGCAAAGGUUUCAGGUGAAAGGUGUGAUGAGGGGUUGAAGCCUGGUCUGCACUUCAGUUCCUCGUUGUGUACCCUCUUGUAGGCGUUAUAGCCAAGAGGAAGGAGUGACAUUUUUUUCACAAGUUGUCCACCCAGAGAGGACAUUUUUCAGAAUGUCAUAAGCCUGAAGAAGUGCUUUCUUUGGUCACACAAAGGGCCAGGAUCUGGUAGGGAUUGGCACUACCAUCAACUAUUCACAUCAGGAAUCUUUUUCAAUACCACCUUGUACUUGAUUAAAAUGAGACACGUAGGGACACUUCAGUGAUGGUUUUGGUGUCUUGCCUCAGUUUCUGCCACAAUUUCAUUAAGGCUCCAUAAUGGGAACAGUAGUGUCUGACCAACUUUGUCACUAGCAAAUACAUGACACCAAUCACUGAAGUAGAAAUUUGAGGUCAACUCUUCAGUCCUUUAAUAUUUUAAAGAAAUUCAUCCCUAAUAAUUGUCCAGAAAAUUUAAUAUCAAUUAUUGAUGAAAGAAUCUUGGUCAGAGCAAAUGGAAGCAAAAUCCCAGACAUGGACUAAAUUUUUUCACAGUUUUAAUAGUGCCUGUCUUAUAUCAAUGAUACCAGACUUAGUUUCUAAUCUUUAUUUAUUUAUUUAUACUGUGAAACUCAUUCCCAGAGGAAAUGCAAGCACAAUUGCCUUCUGGAGCAAAAUCAUUAGGCAAAUGAAUUUUUAAACUGGAAUGAGGUGCACAAAUAAUCCAGACUAUCCCUUCAGUUUGCAAAAGAAGAAAAUAGGAAAUAAGAAAAUGUUCAUAGGCUAGACAUAUAUACAAUAGGCAGAGAUAAUGCAUGUGUUCAGUGCCCCUCUGCAUGCUAUCUGGGAUCCUGCAAAUGUAGCCGCUUGAUUUGAUUUACCUCACAGGCUGAGUUGGGGAUAGGAAGCUGGCUGGUCCAGGACUCUGGUUCUGUGCAGCCAUAGGCCAGAGAGGAGAGUUCACAGAGGAGGCAGGGAUGGGUACAGACAUCCAGAGACAUGAGCAGAGAUCCAAAAAACAUCCACAUAACAGGUGAUGGUGGUGCCCUGUCCAGAUCCUUUUACCUGGGUUUGCCAAGCCCUCAGCUGGGUUGGCUGCUAAUGGCUCAUAGCUGCCCUCUUUUCUGAAGAGCUGCUCUCAUCCACCAGGAACCACUUAGCACAGGACGUUACAUUCUGGCUCCCAUCUCACAACCAGCAGUCCACAGUCAAUGAAUGACUGAGAGAGGUGUACAAAGACUUGCUCCCUUCCUUCUAGGCAAGACAACUCUGUGGUGAAAUUCAUGCUCCAGAGCUCCGCAUGGGAUCAGGCUGAAGCUGGUGUCAGAGACCACAUCUUUGGUUAGCUUCCCCUACUGCUUAACCUGCUUCCCCUUCUUCUGAGAGUGCUUCCUCAAUAAAUCAUUUGCACAAGAAUGUCCAUUUCAGGCUCUACCUUUAGGGACUCUGAUCUGGUAUGAUCCAUGAAUAAGAUGUUUCAGAGGUCUGUAUUGUACUGUUCAUCCUUCAGGCACCAAGGAAGAGUAGAGAAUUAAGGAGCCAUUAGACAAAUGCUGAAGAGCUCAUGCCUAAUAAGCAAAAAGUUUCCAGUUACCAGGGUCAACCUUUCUUAAAAGGAAGUAGAACUUUAAAUGUAACAAAUAUUAUUUUCCAGUCACAAGUUCAAAUUCAUAACAAGGUCUCUAUCAGCUGCACAGAAUAGGAGACUAAUUUGCUUUCUCCAGAGAAGAGUAGAUAUGAGUUAGCUGGCAUGAUAUUUCUGAUUUUAGUUGUGUUGUUUUAGUACCUUUAGACAGGCAAACCUGGCGGCUGCUUAGUGGGCCUGCCCUUCUCAUUGCCUUCCGGCUUCCUCCAAAGCUUCUUAUUCAGCUGGUCUAGGUUGGAACCUGAGAAUCUGCAUUUUAAACAAGUGCCAUGGGAUGCUGAUACUGCUGGUCCAAAGACCACACUUUGAGAAUCAUUAGUCUGAGGCAGUUCUAAAGACUUAUUUGAGGUGUGUUCGUCUCCACAUCCCUAAAGCACCACCUUAAGGCAUUUGGCCAAUCCAGAUCCUCUUAAUUAAUCUGUCUUUGGACCCACUGAGGUGUGUGUUUCAUCCCUAUUCUGCUAUCUAACAGCUAUUGAACCCUGCUCUCCUUAUCUCUACAAUGGGAACAAUAACACCCAUCUCAUAAUGUUGUUGGGAGAAUUAAAUGAAAUAACAUAUAUAAGAUCAUUUGCUUAGAGCAAGUGCUCAGUAAAUAUUAACCCUUUUUUAUUUGAUCAAUUGUUUCCAAUGCUUUAUAUGUUUUUUCUUUGGAUCGUUGUAACAACAUUCUAUCCUGUCAUCAUAAAUAUAUUGAGUAAAAUACUUGGUGUGCAAGAAAAGUGCAAGGAAUGAGCUUGUCUUCUGAAGUUUGCCAAGAGCCCAGCUGCUGCGUGCUUUAGGUGAGUCAUCUCUCUCCACCAGCUGGUUUGUGAAUGUGCUGCCCAGGUGAGCCAUCUGGCACUUUGCCAAACCAAACCACGGAAGUCAACAAGUCCAAAAAUCUAACCAAGGUGACUAAAUGCUUUGCUUAGGAAAGCAUGGUGGGAAUUCCCAUUUAUAUGAAAUAAAUCAGAGGCAUCUGGCAAUUGGUGGACUUGGGGUCUUGCUGAUAAAAGGAGAAAGAGAUUAGGAAGAACUCAUCAGGAUUUAUUCAUCUCUGUCUGAGGCUACAACUGCUCAAAUGAAGGUUUCAAACUAUUCUUAAGGCAGCAACUUUCAAAUGUUUUGGUCUCAGGACCUCUUUAUAUUCUCAUAAACUAUAAGAUAUCAAAGAGCUUUUGUCUAUGUAGGAUAUAUGUAUCAGUAUAUAACAGUAAAAAUUGAAACAAAUUUGAGAAAUACUUAUUGAUUCAUUUAAAAAUAACAAUAGUAAACCCCUUACAGGUUAACAUGAAUAAUAUAUUUUUAUGAAAAAAACUAUUAUUUUUUAAAACAAAUAAAGUUAAUGAAUAGAAGGGCUGACAUUGUUUUAUAUUUUUGCACAUAUCUUUGAGGUCUACCUUAAUAGAAGACAGCUGAAUUCUCAUAUCUGCUUCUGCAUUCCAUCUGUGGCACAUUGUUGGUUUGAAGCAUAGGAAGAAUAUUUGGUCUCACAGAGAUAAGUAGUUGAAAAGGGAAGGCUAUUUUAAUAGAUUUCAAGUAAUCAUGGAUAUUAUUUGAUGUUACAUUGAAAAUUCACAAGUGAUAGCUCCUUAAAGAUUAGUUGCGAUUUGGAAUCUGAACCCCAUCAAUGAACUUUACACACUUAUAUUAGACAUGCCUGUCUUACACUUUGGAUAGAUAUUUUACCCAUGUGUGAUUCCACAUUGGUCAUUUGGAAACUAUUAGCUCAUGGAAUUAUGCAGGUCUUCCAAAUUAUGGUACAUUACAUAAAAAUUUUUAAAUUACAUUUCUUAAUAUCACCAUUGCUAUGCCUGAAUGUUUGUGUUCUCCCAAAAUUCAUAUAAUGGACUGCUAACCCCCAAAGAUUAUGGUAUUAGUAGGAGGGCCUUUGGAAGGUGAUUAGGGCAUGAGGGUGGAGCCCUCAUGAAUGGGAUUAGUGCCCUUAUACCCCACAGAGCUCUAUAAUCUCUUCUACCAUGCAGUGAGAAGGCACCAGCUAUGAAUCAGGUUGUGUUCCUCACCAGACACAACCACACUGGCAUCUUGAUACUGGACUUCCCAACCUCCAGGACUGUGAGAAGUAACUGUCUGCUGUCGAUAAGCCACCCAGUCUGUUGUAUUUUGUUAUGGCAGCACAGAUGGACUAAGGCAGCUACCUAUCACUUUAGAAUAAUAUUUAAGUAUUGCAAAACAGAUACAAAUUUUACACAAUUCUAAUUUUCUCUUGAAAGCUCAACUUUUAUCUUUGGCAACAAAUAGUGUCAUCUACUUCCCUUGAAGUGACAGGUUCACCUCUUUCAUUUUUAAGAUGUCUGCAAAAACCCAAGUCCUAAUGCACAGUUUGCCAAUGUUAUUUUUUUUUCCUUUUGGUCAAUUAAAACUGGUGUACCAUGCAAGAGGCAGCUAGUUCAACAUACAGCUCAAAGAAUUGCAUAAGUGCUUUUCUUCAAGACAGUCAUCAUAUUUCAUUAUGCAAGAGAAAGGCUUAAAUACCUACUUCUCAUGUUAUGACACAAUAUUAAAGAGAUGUGUAUUCAAGGGUUGAAAUUUAAUAUUAAUGACUUUUACUGCUUCAUCAAUGACAUUCACAAGUGAGUCUGGCUUUUAAAAAAAUUGCUUGUAUGCUACAGUGAAGAAUAAAAUAAAUUCUGGUUCUAUGCUUUGCUUUUGUGCUAAGGUGUCAGCGGUUUUACUUACCAUUCCUUUUGUAUCAUCCACUGAUGCUGCUGAUCCAGGGACCACCCCUUGUGAAGCAAGGUCCUAUACUGCCUUCUGGGAUCCGAGGCAGGCCAAGUGAGAACUCUGGAACACCCAUUCCUGAUUAAACCAGAACAGCUACUUACUCGGAUUUUAUCUGUACUAUUUAGUAGCAUUCCUCAAAAAGUUUUAUUUUCUGAUGGAAAAUAAAAAGUUUAUGACUCACUUCUA